CAGCACCUCAAGUGGUCAGGAUGAUUAUUGAGCCUAAAGCAUCCGUAGCCGGCGCUGUAAGUUUUCGGUUAAAUCUGUACGCUCAACGUACAGGCUGCCGGGAAUACUGCAGCGCUAGGGAGUGGGAGAGGUAGACGGUACUCGGUAGGAAGGGGUAAAAUCCUUUGAUCUAUUGAUGACCACCUGUGGCGAAGGCGGUCUACCAGAACACGUCCGACGGUGAGGGAUGAAAGCUGGGGGAGCAAACCGGAUUAGAUACCCGAGUAGUCC
rnacentral:rRNA from 1 species